rnacentral:rRNA from 1 species
GACGAACGCUGGCGGCGUGCCUAAUACAUGCAAGUAGAACGCUGAAGAGAGGAGCUUGCUCUUCUUGGAUGAGUUGCGAACGGGUGAGUAACGCGUAGGUAACCUGCCUUGUAGCGGGGGAUAACUAUUGGAAACGAUAGCUAAUACCGCAUAACAAUGGAUGACACAUGUCAUUUAUUUGAAAGGGGCAAUUGCUCCACUACAAGAUGGACCUGCGUUGUAUUAGCUAGUAGGUGAGGUAAUGGCUCACCUAGGCGACGAUACAUAGCCGACCUGAGAGGGUGAUCGGCCACACUGGGACUGAGACACUGCCCAGACUCCUACGGGAGGCAGCAGUAGGGAAUCUUCGGCAAUGGGGGCAACCCUGACCGAGCAACGCCGCGUGAGUGAAGAAGGUUUUCGGAUCGUAAAGCUCUGUUGUAAGUCAAGAACGGGUGUGAGAGUGGAAAGUUCACACUGUGACGGUAGCUUACCAGAAAGGGACGGCUAACUACGUGCCAGCAGCCGCGGUAAUACGUAGGUCCCGAGCGUUGUCCGGAUUUAUUGGGCGUAAAGCGAGCGCAGGCGGUUUGAUAAGUCUGAAGUUAAAGGCUGUGGCUCAACCAUAGUUCGCUUUGGAAACUGUCAAACUUGAGUGCAGAAGGGGAGAGUGGAAUUCCAUGUGUAGCGGUGAAAUGCGUAGAUAUAUGGAGGAACACCGGUGGCGAAAGCGGCUCUCUGGUCUGUAACUGACGCUGAGGCUCGAAAGCGUGGGGAGCGAACAGGAUUAGAUACCCUGGUAGUCCACGCCGUAAACGAUGAGUGCUAGGUGUUGGAUCCUUUCCGGGAUUCAGUGCCGCAGCUAACGCAUUAAGCACUCCGCCUGGGGAGUACGACCGCAAGGUUGAAACUCAAAGGAAUUGACGGGGGCCCGCACAAGCGGUGGAGCAUGUGGUUUAAUUCGAAGCAACGCGAAGAACCUUACCAGGUCUUGACAUCCCGAUGCUAUUUCUAGAGAUAGAAAGUUACUUCGGUACAUCGGUGACAGGUGGUGCAUGGUUGUCGUCAGCUCGUGUCGUGAGAUGUUGGGUUAAGUCCCGCAACGAGCGCAACCCCUAUUGUUAGUUGCCAUCAUUCAGUUGGGCACUCUAGCGAGACUGCCGGUAAUAAACCGGAGGAAGGUGGGGAUGACGUCAAAUCAUCAUGCCCCUUAUGACCUGGGCUACACACGUGCUACAAUGGUUGGUACAACGAGUUGCGAGUCGGUGACGGCGAGCUAAUCUCUUAAAGCCAAUCUCAGUUCGGAUUGUAGGCUGCAACUCGCCUACAUGAAGUCGGAAUCGCUAGUAAUCGCGGAUCAGCACGCCGCGGUGAAUACGUUCCCGGGCCU